rnacentral:lncRNA from 1 species
GCUGAUCCCUUUCGCUGUAUGGCGUGCUCGUUUGGGUUGGGCGUCGGCUAAGAGUGCUCGGAGCGUGGAUUAACUCCAAUCUCCUAUCAGGUGUGUAUUUCUCACUACUUUGGCUGUAGGAUGGCUACUUCGGGCCGCGAUGGGCCGAAAGAGGCCAUGUGGGCCCAAUGGGCCUACGGGCCCAAUUGGAUAAGUUGUUUGAUUGUGUAGUAAAUAUUAGACUAGGCUAGGUGAAUCUCAUAUCUGUGGCUAGAUUUGGGCUAAAAGGGCCACACGAGCGUGUGGGCCCAUUUGGGCCGAGAAUAGGCUUUAGGCCCAUUCGUAUUGUUAUCCUUGUUUAGAAUACUUUAGUUUACUAAAAUUACUGAAAUACCCUUAGUUUGUAAAAAUACUGAAAUACCCUCGAUUUGUAAAAUUACUGAAAUACCUUCGACUUGUAAAAUUACCAAAGUUCCCCCGAUUUAUAGAAUUACCGUUUUACCCCCAAUUUACAUAAUUACUGUUUUACCCCCGAUUUACAUAAUUACAGUUUUACCCUUGAUUUACAAAAUUACCGUUUUACCCUCGAUUUAUAGAAUUACCAUUUUACCCUCGAUUUAUAGAAUUACUAUUUUACCCUUGAUUUACAGAAUUACUGUUUUACCCUCGAUUUACAAAAUUACUAAAAUACCCUUGGUUUGUAAAAUUACCAAAAUACCCCUAGUUUGUAAAAUUACCAAAAUACCCUUAGUUUGUGAAAUUACCAAAAUACCCUCAAUUUGUAAAAUUACCAAAAUACCCCUGAUUUACAAAGUUACAGAAAUACUCUUGACUUUCUAAAAAUUAUAGAAAUACCAUUAGUUUACAAGAUUAUUAAAAUACCCUUGGUUUGUAGAUUUACCAAAACACCCUUGAAGGAUGAAAUGACUAAAAUACCCCUAUUAGGUAAAAAGACCGUAAAGCCCCUAUAGGGUAAAGUGACCGUAAUACCCCUGUAUGGUAAAAUGACGAAUAUGCCCUUAUGUUCCUUAUGACUGAUGUGCUUAGGAUUUACAUAUAUUGAUAUUGGAUUAGUUAAGUUUGAGUGACAGGUGGUGGUUAUCGUAGGCGAUUGAUUUUGGAAACGUUUCAACUUCAACCUGUAACAGGUGUGUACUAACCCUCGCAAUAGCUUAGAUUAAUAUUUGCUGAGAAGCAGAAAUGCUAAAAUACCAGUAUUUUGGGAACUUGUAAUGUUGCGUUUGGGUAUAGAUGUGAUAAAUACGAUAAGAUCGGUGUUUGGAUCGAUGGAACAAGUAAGAACUCAAUUUUGUGCACGAUGGUAAGUUGGGCCUUAAUGGUCUAAAAUUGGGCCCAAUGGGCUUUCGAACCCAUUUGGGUAGAAUUGAUAGAAAAUGGAAUUUGGAAAAGUUGCACAUUAACACGGUUAGUAUUGUUGUAAAAUUUGGGUUAAGUAGGCUAAAUCAGCAUUCGUAGGGCCCAUUAGGGGUUUUGGGCCCAAAAGCCCGAAUUUGAUAAAGUGGGUUAAAGAUCAUUAUUUAAACACUCGAAAAUAUUGAUAAUUGUAAUGAACAUGGAAAACCCUGAUAUUCGGUAAAAUUAUGACAAUACCCUUAAAUGUGAAAAAUGACUGUUGUGUCCUUGUGGGCAAGUGACUGACUUGGACUGUGUGGUUGACGAAUUUGAUUGUGAAUAUAUGUUGGUGAUAUGAAUGACUUGAUUGUGAUUGUUUAAUUCAAAUAUGGGCAUGACAUUCUGCAUACAUGACAUGUUGCAUUGGGUUGGGUUUUUAUAUGGAUGGAGGAAGUGCAAAAGGGCUUAUGCCCCAGUUUAUCGAAAAUGGCUUAUGCCCCAGUUUAUUGAAAAGGGCUUAUGCCCCAGUUUACCGAAAAGGGCUUUGCCCCAGUUAUUAAAAAGGCUAGGCCUCCAGAUAUAUGAUAAAGCAGCUAUGCUGCCAGUGGUGUGUUGGUUGGGUGGGUUGAGUUAUUCCCCACAUGGUGUGUUGGUUGGUACGGGUGGAGAGUAGCGGAUGGUGGGUUGAAUAGUCUCCCCAAAUGGGCUUGCAUACAUUCAUUGGUAUUUCAUGUGAUACUGAAAUGGGCUUGCAUACAUCCAUUGACAUUACAUGUGAUAUUGAAAUGGGCCUAUAGGCCAUACCGUUUACAGUAAAGGCUUCAGCCCAGUGAAAUGAUUUAUGAAAAGGCUUUGGCCCAGUGAUAUGAUUUAUGAAAAGGCUUCGGCCCAGUAACCGUUAAACGAAAGGCUUUGGCCCAGUAUAUGUCAAGACUAAAUAGGGCUUUGACCCAGAUUGUACUGAUACUGUGUUUUCACUAUUUGUUUGUUAUUAGGAUUACACACUGAGUUUUCGUAAACUCACCCCGUUUCUAACUGUGCAGGUAAUCCCUAAGCUUAGAUGGUUUGGAGCUACGAGGGACUCGGAGAUGGCCACACUACUGUUUCUGUUUCUUUUAAUUGCAAUAAGUAGCCGAUUUAUUUCUUUAUAAGUUUUAUCUUAUUAAUAUUAUUGUUUGGUUUUGGGUUGUAAUAAGGCCAUUUUAAUUAUUUUUCUGGGAG